rnacentral:ncRNA from 1 species
GAAAUUAUUAUGGAAUUUUAGCUGUGUGUUAAAGAGAAAUUAUUAUUAAUCUUUAAAAAUAUAAACUCUAAGAGAAAUUGAAUAAUAAACGAAGUGAAUUGAAAUAUCUUAGUAACUUUAGGAAAAUAAAUCAAAAGAGAUUCCAUGAAUAGUGUGAACGAAAGUGGAGAAGUCUAUAAAGUAAAAUGGUUUUUAAACAGUUUGAACUAUAUGGGGAACCUUCCUCAAAGACUAAAUAUAAUACACAAGCUAUAGAAUAUAGUACCGUGAGGGAACAAAUUGAAAUAGUAAUUUUAUAAGCAGUUUGAAAAAAAAAACGUACCUUUUGCAUAAUGGGUCACCAAGUUAACAUUAGAUGCGAGAAAAUACGUAGUUAAACCGAGCGUUAAAAUAACGGUAUAGUAUCUAAAGUUAGACCCGAAGCCUGGUGAUUUUACCAUAAUCAGGAUUAUAAAAGUCCGAACGGAAUAUUGUAGCAAAAAUAUCCGAAGAAUUGUGGUAGGUAUAGUGAAAGACAAUACUGACCAGGAUAGCUGGUUUUCUGCGAAACCUAUAACAGUAGGCAAUUUAAUUAAACAUCUUAGCAGGUACAGAAUUUAAUCUCAGACAAGACAAAAAAUUUUUGUUUUAUAUUGUACAAAUUGGGGGAUCGUGAAGAUUUUAUCAGUGAGUAUGUAGACUCGGAAUGGCAAAGAUGUAUGUUAAAUUAUCAGACAUAGAAUGAUAAGGUUGUAUGUCAAAAGGGAAACAGCCCAGAACAAGAGUUAAGGUUCCUAAAUUAUUAGUUAAGUGAAAUUAAGAGAGUUUUUAUUAAAGUCGACAAGGAGAUAGGCUUAGAAGCAGCCAUAAUUUUAUGACCUCGUAACAGAGCGCUUGUUAAGUUAUAGAAGCAUCGAAAAUUUAACGGAUCUAAACAAUAUACCGAAACCUUGUCCAUAUAAAUUAAAAUUUAAUUUUAAUUAUGUGGGGUAGCAGAACGUUGAAUUAUACUAAGACUUUUAUUUUUUAAAUAAAAGUAAAUAUUUUUGUUUAAAAGAAAUUUUAAAUAAAUUAAAGAAUGAAAUUCAAGUGAGAAUGGUGACAUGAGUAACUAAAAGAAAAAUUUAAUUUUUCCGCCUAAAGCUUAUGGAUGUAAUUAAGUAACGGCCUCUAAGUUUAAAAUUAUCUAAAGGUUUAAACGAUGAGAAAUCUUUAUUACUAAGGACAACAUUUUAGUGUAAAAUGUACUGGAAAAAUAGUGAUAUCAUUAUGAGAAUUAUUAUGUUGAAAAAUAUAAUAAGAUGGACAUAACGAGAACAACCGUACCUAGAUUCUGAAACAAGUAAGCUAGUAGAGUAUACGAAGGCGUAAAUGAGCUAACAAUCAUAAAGGAACUCGGCAAAAUAACUACCGUAACUUCGGAAUAAGGAGGGCUCAUUAUUCUUGAUUAAUAUCAAGUAAAAAGGAAGAAGCAUGAAAUAGUGUUGUACGACUGUUUAAUUAAAACACAGCACUUUGCCGAAAGAUUAAAAAUCUAUGUAUAAAGUGUGAGAUCUGCCCGGUGCCGGCUGGUUAACAGAGAUAAUUAGGUAUACUACUAUCUAAUGUCGACGGAAACCCCGGUUAAAGGCGGCCUUAACGUGAGGGUCCUAAGGUAGCUAAAUGCCUUGGCCGUUAAAUGCGGUCUUGCAUGAAUGGUGUAACGAUACAACAGCUGUCUCUAUGAUUGACUCAGUGAAAUUG